rnacentral:lncRNA from 1 species
AGUUUAUUUACAAAUUCUCCGUACUGGAGUAAAAGUAUCAGAGUAAAAGUGUGCUGGAGAAGAGAAAGCCCUUCGCUCUUUGUCCACACCGAAAUGAGGUGCUGCAAGCUUCCUGUCUCCUCUCACCAGACAACAAGUCCCCAGCCAUCAAAUGGCAAGCCCUCUGUGGGAAACAGGAGUCUAGUUCCUUGACACCCGGACCUGAGCUACACUCAUGCAGCUCAUUGAAAGUCCAGUGCACUUGGUGGGAAACAAGCGGUCCUUUUCCAGAAUCUACAGGAUUUGCCUAGAAUGGUAAAUCUAGGUAGGACUAUAAUGGGGGGACUCUAAUGGGGGUAUUAGGAAUUAGGAUGCCUAAAAGCAUUAGCAUGCUGACAGUGUGUGAAAUGGGCCUCAGGCCCCACUACUACCCCAAGAACCCUGCCAUCUUCAAGGGCAUCCUCUCC